rnacentral:snoRNA from 1 species
GCCUGGUGGUUCCUGGACUCAGCUGCACUGUGCUGAUAUUUCUGGGUUUGAAAACAGGCACAUAUUAACUCUGAUUUUUUUUGCAUGGGGGCUGUAUUUCCAAGCAGCCACCAUAGGCCCGGUUUCAGAGACAGUA